rnacentral:tRNA from 1 species
GGGGUUGUGGCUCAGCGGUAGGGCGCUCACCUAGCAUGUGUGAGGCUCUGGGAUCGAACCUCAGCAUCACAU